rnacentral:rRNA from 1 species
UACGUAGGGACCGAGCGUUGUCCGGAUUCAUUGGGCGUAAAGAGCUCGUAGGCGGCCACUCAAGUCGAAUGUGAAACCUCGAGGCUUAACCUCGAGCCUGCAUUCGAUACUGGGCGGCUAGAGUCUGGUAGGGGGAUCUGGAAUUCCUGGUGUAGAGGUGAAAUUCGUAGAUAUCAAGCGGAACACCGGUGGCGAAGGCGGCCUUCUGGACAGUGACUGACGCUGAGACGCGAAAGCGUGGGGAGCAAACAGG